rnacentral:lncRNA from 1 species
GACAAAGCAAGAUGGGUUAAGACACAAUUUCCUUAAAUGUGCUUUGUCAAAAGUGGUUUUCCAUGGGUAAAUUCUCUCUUUUUCCAUGCUUUCUUCACUAACAAUUCUGCCUUUGAAAACAGCAAUAUUUACAGAAUUAUGAUCACUACAGUUGAAAUGGCUCUUAAAAUUCAUCCAGUUGUUUCAUCUUCCAGUGCAGGAAUGUGCCUCCCGUUGGUAUUGGCGAUGCUCUGCAAGGAGACUCAUGCAUCUGUGCAUCUCUGUGGAGUGAGAAGCCUCAGGCGGAAAUACAAGAAGAAGAGGGCCAUCUGAAAAUCUGGAAGAGUGUCUUCAUCAGAUACCAGAUCUGUCAACGCCUUGAACUUGGACUUCUCAGCCUUCAAAACUGUAAGAAAUAAGUGUUUGUUGCUUAAGCCACUAACUCUAUGGUAUUUUUGUUAUAGCAGUCCAAGCUGACAAAAAUAGAUAGGUAGGAUAUGACAUGAUGGGUGGAUGAAUGGAUGGGUGGAUCAAUGGAUCAAUCACUAUUCCCUAGGAUUAUUUUAUUGGUCUUAUGACAAA